UUAAACACAAGUUCCCAUAUGAUCACCAAAGUUAAGCAAUAUCAAGCUUGGUUAGUACCUAGAUGGGUGACUGCUUGGGAAUUU